rnacentral:rRNA from 1 species
GACAGAGGGUGCAAACGUUGUUCGGAAUUACUGGGCGUAAAGCGCGUGUAGGCGGCCAUCUAAGUCGGGCGUGAAAUCCCACGGCUCAACCGUGGAAGUGCACUCGAAACUGGAUGGCUAGAGUCCUGGAGAGGAAGGUGGAAUGCUUGGUGUAGAGGUGAAAUUCGUAGAUAUCAAGCGGAACACCGGUGGCGGAGGCGGCCUUCUGGACAGUGACUGACGCUGAGGUGCGAAAGCGUGGGGAGCAAACAGG